GUUAAAGAUAGAGUGGCAAUGAAGAUUAUCGAAUAGUACCACUCCAUGUAUUCAUCCUCUAGUGGUUUGGAGAAAUGGGUUGUAAAGAUUGAGCAACCCAUAGACAUCUUUCUCACGAUACCCAGUGCAUCAGUUUCUCUUAUAUAAAUGAGAUAAAUGCUAUUUAAACAAAAUUUUGGGAGCUAUCUAUAGCAAUGACUGAAGGACGUUGAAGACAAAGUCAAUUUCUCAUGCAAGGGUCCGCUUGGAUGUUCUUUGGUUUCUUAAAAUUAAUUCCUUUUGUAAACGUACCUUAUGAAUAUGUGAUAUUUGGGCACAAUGUUACUUUUAUAGACCUUUGUUGGGUAAUGUGCACCUCAAUAUGACAUUUG